AGAGAAAUUGAAAAUGGAUUUACAACAGAAAGGCGUAAAAUUCAUUAUAAAAUUGAUGUGACAGUUCAAAGUUUUGUACUUUCCAGACCUGCACAACGAAUUACCUAUUUGAAAAAUAGAAUAUGGUUAAAAAUUGCUGAUAUGAUAGAGGAUUCAAGUACCAUUUACAAACAAAAUAUUGAAGAGAAUGUGCUCAAAGGAAAUGCAUAUGAAUUCUUUUUUGUUGACCAGGAUGGAACAAUUCUUUGGAACCUAUACUUAGAAUAAGUUAGUUAGGCCUAGUGAUGUACCAGCCAGAAGUAGAGGAUGACAAAGAAAAUCAACUAUGGAUAAU